GGGGGGCCGGGGGGGUGGGGCAGCGUCGGGCAGCGCCGGGGGGCAGCGGAGCCAGGGCCCCCCCGCGCCCCUCCCGCCGGGAUGGAGAAGGGGCAGCCCCCCCAGGUGCUGCCGCCCCCCUCGGAGCCCCCCCAGAACGGCCCGGGCCCCCCCACCAGCCCCACGGCCCCGGGGGGUGAGAGCUGGGGGGGCUGGGGGUCCCCUGGGGGGGAGGUUCCCUGGGGGGGGUCCCUGGG